rnacentral:tRNA from 1 species
GCCCUUGUAGCUCAGUUCGGAUAGAGCAGAAGUUUCCUAAACUUUGUGUCGGAGGUUCAAGUCCUCUCAAGGGUA